rnacentral:rRNA from 1 species
GACGAACGCUGGCGGCGUGCUUAACACAUGCAAGUCGAACGGCAAGGCCCUGCUUUUGUGGGGUGCUCGAGUGGCGAACGGGUGAGUAACACGUGAGUAACCUGCCCUUGACUUUGGGAUAACUUCAGGAAACUGGGGCUAAUACCGGAUAGGAGCUCCUGCUGCAUGGUGGGGGUUGGAAAUUUUCGGCGGUUGGGGAUGGACUCGCGGCUUAUCAGCUUGUUGGUGGGGUAGUGGCUUACCAAGGCUUUGACGGGUAGCCGGCCUGAGAGGGUGACCGGCCACAUUGGGACUGAGAUACGGCCCAGACUCGUACGGGAGGCAGCAGUGGGGAAUAUUGCACAAUGGGCGGAAGCCUGAUGCAGCAACGCCGCGUGCGGGAUGACGGCCUUCGGGUUGUAAACCGCUUUCGCCUGUGACGAAGCGUGAGUGACGGUAAUGGGUAAAGAAGCACCGGCUAACUACGUG